rnacentral:rRNA from 2 species
GUCGAGCGAACUUGCGGGAGCUUGCUCCCAAAAGUUAGCGGCGGACGGGUGAGUAACACGUGGGCAACCUGCCCUAUAGUUUGGGAUAACUCCGGGAAACCGGGGCUAAUACCGAAUAAUACAUUUUAUCUCCUGAUGAGAUGUUGAAAGAUGGUUUCGGCUAUCGCUAUAGGAUGGGCCCGCGGCGCAUUAGCUAGUAGGUGAGGUAACGGCUCACCUAGGCGACGAUGCGUAGCCGACCUGAGAGGGUGAUCGGCCACACUGGGACUGAGACACGGCCCAGACUCCUACGGGAGGCAGCAGUAGGGAAUCUUCCACAAUGGGCGAAAGCCUGAUGGAGCAACGCCGCGUGAGUGAAGAAGGUUUUCGGAUCGUAAAACUCUGUUGUAAGGGAAGAACAAGUGCAGUAGUAACUGGCUGCACCUUGACGGUACCUUAUUAGAAAGCCACGGCUAACUACGUGCCAGCAGCCGCGGUAAUACGUAGGUGGCAAGCGUUGUCCGGAAUUAUUGGGCGUAAAGCGCGCGCAGGCGGUUUCUUAAGUCUGAUGUGAAAGCCCCCGGCUUAACCGGGGAGGGUCAUUGGAAACUGGGAGACUUGAGUGCAGAAGAGGAAAGUGGAAUUCCAAGUGUAGCGGUGAAAUGCGUAGAGAUUUGGAGGAACACCAGUGGCGAAAGCGACUUUCUGGUCUGUAACUGACGCUGAGCGCGAAAGCGUGGGG